rnacentral:rRNA from 1 species
UACAGGGGGUGCAAACGUUGCUCGGAAUUAUUGGGCGUAAAGCGCGCGUAGGCGGCCACUUAAGUCGGAUGUGAAAGCCCCUGGCUCAACUGGGGAAGUGCACCCGAAACUGAAUGGCUUGAGUGCGAAAGAGGGUCGCGGAAUUCCCGGUGUAGAGGUGAAAUUCGUAGAUAUCGGGAGGUACACCAGUGGCGAAGGCGGCGAUCUGGGUCGAUACUGACGCUGAGGUGCGAAAGCGUGGGGAUCAAACAGG